rnacentral:tRNA from 1 species
GCCCAGGUGGCGGAAUGGUAGACGCUGCGGACUUAAAAUCCGCUUCCCUUUAUCGGGAGUGGGGGUUCGAAUCCCUUCCUGGGCACCA